CCGCCCCCACCCUUCAGGGCAACUUCAGGAGAACUGGGAAGAAGGUGGAGCCAGCGGACAUCGGAGGCUGCACGAAAGGAGAGAGGAGCUGUGGCCUGACCAG
rnacentral:lncRNA from 1 species